rnacentral:rRNA from 1 species
GGGUCAGUAGGUUGGUCGUGCCACCGGUACGUACUGGUCUCACUGAUUCCUCCUUCCUGAAGAACCGUAAUGCCAUUAAUUCGGUGUUGCGGGGAAACAGGACUGUUACUUUGAAAAAAUUAGAGUGUUUAAAGCAAGCUAACGCUUGAAUACAUUAGCAUAGAAUAAUGAAAUAGGACGAUCGAUCCUAUUUUGUUGGUUUCUAGGAUUGACGUA